rnacentral:rRNA from 1 species
CAGCCGCCGCGGUAAAACGUAGGUGGCAAGCGUUGUCCGGAAUUAUUGGGCGUAAAGGGCUCGCAGGCGGUUUCUUAAGUCUGAUGUGAAAGCCCCCGGCUCAACCGGGGAGGGUCAUUGGAAACUGGGAAGCUUGAGUGCAGAAGAGGAGAGUGGAAUUCCACGUGUAGCGGUGAAAUGCGUAGAGAUGUGGAGGAACACCAGUGGCGAAGGCGACUCUCUGGUCUGUAACUGACGCUGAGGAGCGAAAGCGUGGGGAGCGAACAGGAUUAGAUACCCCAGUAGUCCCUGUCUCUUAUAC